GCUAACCUACCCUUGGGACAGAGACAACCCCGGGAAACUGGGGCCAAUCCCUGAUAAGUGAGAAAUCCUGGAAUGGAUCUUCACCCAAAGGGCGCUCAGAGCAUGCUGCUGGACGCCGCCCAAGGAUGGGGCCGCGGCCGAUCAGGUUGUUGGUGAGGUAACGGCUCACCAAGCCUUUAACCGGUACGGGCCGUGAGAGCGGGAGCCCGGAGAUGGGCACUGAGACAAGGGCCCAGGCCCUACGGGGCGCAGCAGUCGCGAAAACUCCGCAAUACGCGAAAGCGUGACGGGGUCAUCCCGAGUGCUGUCCCGCUGAGGAUGGCUUUUCCCAAGUGUAGAUAGCUUGGGGAAUAAGGAGAGGGCAAGUCUGGUGUCAGCCGCCGCGGUAAUACCAGCUCUCCGAGUGGUGGGGAUACUUAUUGGGCCUAAAGCAUCCCGUAGCUGGCUGGACAAGUCCCCUGUUAAAUCCAACGAUUCAAUCGUUUGGCUGCGGGGGGAUACUGCCCGGCUAGGAGACGGAAGAGGCCGACGGUAUUCUUGGGGUAGGGAUGAAAUCNUAUAAUCCCGGGAAGACCACCAGUGGCGAAGGCUGUCGGCUAGAACGCGCUCGACCGUGAAGGAUGAAAGCUGGGGAAGCAAACCGGAUUAGAUACCCGGGUAGUCCCAGCUGUAACCGAUACAGGCUAGGUGUUAGGGCGGCUACGUGCCGCUCUAGUGCCGCAGGGAAGCUGUUUAGCCUGUCGCCUGGGGAGUACGGCUGCAAGGCUGAAACUUAAAGGAAUUGGCGGGGGAGCACCACAAGGGGUGAAGCUUGCGGUUUAAUUGGAGUCAACGCCGGAAAUCUCACCGGGGGCGACAGCAGGAUGAAAGCCAGAUUAAAGGUCUUGCCCGACGAGCUGAGAGGAGGUGCAUGGCCGUCGCCAGUUCGUGCCGUGAGGUGUCCUGUUAAGUCAGGCAACGAUCGAGACCCGCAUCCUCCCGUUGCUACUGGCCUUGAGCCAAGCACACUGGGGAGACUGCCGCCGAUAAGGUGGAGGAAGGAGCGGGCCACGGCAGGUCAGUAUGCCCCGAAUCUCCCGGGCCACACGCGAGCUGCAAUGGCAGGCACAAUGGGUUCCGACCUCGAAAGAGGAAGGCAAUCUCUAAAACCUGCCGUAGUUGGGAUCGAGGGUUGAAACCCACCCUCGUGAACAUGGAAUCCCUAGUAAU
rnacentral:rRNA from 1 species